rnacentral:rRNA from 1 species
UCGGGAAUUUUGGGCAAUGGGGGAAACCCUGACCCAGCAACGCCGCGUGAAGGAUGAAGUAUUUCGGUAUGUAAACUUCGAAAGAAUAGGAAGAAUAAAUGACGGUACUAUUUAUAAGGUCCGGCUAACUACGUGCCAGCAGCCGCGGUAAUACGUAGGGACCAAGCGUUGUUCGGAUUUACUGGGCGUAAAGGGCGCGUAGGCGGCAUGACAAGUCACUUGUGAAAUCUCUGGGCUUAACCCAGAACGGCCAAGUGAUACUGCAGAGCUAGAGUGUAGAAGGGGCAAUCGGAAUUCUUGGUGUAGCGGUGAAAUGCGUAGAUAUCAAGAGGAACACCUGAGGUGAAGACGGGUUGCUGGUCUAACACUGACGCUGAGGCGCGAAAGCCAGGGGAGCAAACGGGAUUAGAUACCCAGGUAGUCCCUGAGCGGGCUGGCAAGGCGCAU